CGGGACGGGUGGGUAAUGUCUGGGAACUGGACCUGAUGAGGGGGGAUAACUACUGGAAACGGUAGCUAAUACCGCAUAACGUCGCAAGACCAAAGAGGGGGACCUUCGGGCCUCUUGCCAUCGGAUGUGCCCAGAUGGGAUUAGCUAGUAGGUGGGGUAACGGCUCACCUAGGCGACGAUCCCUAGCUGGUCUGAGAGGAUGACCAGCCACACUGGAACUGAGACACGGUCCAG
rnacentral:rRNA from 1 species